rnacentral:rRNA from 1 species
GAAUUGUGAUCUCAUACAACAUGUGUCAUACUUUUAAUUAAAUUAAAUUAAGUUAAAUUAAAUUAAUGAAAGGUAUGAUACUUUUGUAUACAUUGGGGAGUCGUUAAGAUUCUAUCAGUGAGUAUUUGUUCUCGGAAGGGCCAUAUAUGAAUAUUAAAUAAUCGGACAUAGUACGAUAAGGUUGUAUGUCUAAAGGGAAACAGCCCAGAACAAGAGUUAAUAAGGUUCCAAAAUUAUUGUUAAGUGAAAUUAAUGUAGUAUUUAUCCCAAACGCCCAGGAAAUAGGCUUAGAAGCGGCCACUUUUUGAAGAUCUCGUAAAAGAGCACUGGUUUUACUUACAAAGUCAUAUUGUAUAAAAACAAGGAUAAAAGCACUAAUAAUUUAACGGAUCUAAACAAUAUACCGAUACCUUGUCUAUACAUAUUGAUAUAUGUUAUACAUAUAUCAAUAUGUAUGGGGUAGCAGAACGUUGGGUAAAUUACUCAGCUCUAGGUCUCUUUGAGAUACUAGAGCAUAUAAAUUAUAACCGGAUUAUGUGAAUUAUAACCGGAUUAUAUUAUAUUAUAAAAUCCCAAGUGAUAAUGCUGACAUGAGUAACGAUAAAGGGAGAAAGCAGAUGCUAAUGCGGUAUCCCUUCGCCUUAAGCUUAUGGUAUUUAUUAAAGUCACGGCCUCUAAGUUUUACCAUAUCUUAUUAUUACUAAGUAAGAAUAGACAUUAUAUCUAUGAAUGAAUAUGUUAGUUAAUUAAUAGAUAAAAAAAAAGAUGUCUAUUGAUAGAUAAAAAAUGUCUAUUAAUAGAUAAAAAAAAAUGUCUAUUGAUUAAUUAGCAAAUACUAAAAAUAUAUUGAAAAGGGUAUACAUAGAAAAAAUGAACUAUAAUAAGAUACUCAAAAUAUAUUGAAAUGAACUAUAAUAAGAUACUCAAAAUAUAUUGAAAUGGGUAUACAUAGAUAAAAUGAACUAUAAUAAGAUAAUCCAAAAGGUAUGAACGAUGAGCAAAUCUAUAGUAUACAGAAAACGACAUAUUAAAUAUAUAAACUAAUUAUAAUAAAUUUUAUUUGUUGAUACAUAAAGUUAUAAUUAACAUUAUAAAGUAACAGUUAAAUAUGUUCUGGAAAACUGUAAACAAGUGAUAUGAGCAAUUUCUUAUGGCAUAAACAAACUAUAUAGAUGAUAUAGUUCAUAUUGUUAAAUAAUAUGUGUCGCUCUAGCACUACUCAUUACCGUACCUAAAUACUACCACAAGUAAGCAAG